UCACUUUGGUUUCUCUGCAAUUCGCAUAAAUCUUUCGCCUUUUACUAAAGAUUUCCGUGCAGAGGUACACGUUGAUGAGUAUGUAAUUAUUUUUCUCCGGCUUGCCUUAAUUGAUAAGCC